AUUUCAUUAUAUUAUUUUAUUUGUUUAUGCGAUUUAUUACAACAACAUAUCACCGAAAGCAAAUAUUUUAUAAAACUAAUGUGAAAGUUCAAAACUAGUAAUUUCUAGUAACUUGAUUGAUUAAAUCAUUGAUGCCAAAAUCUCAUUAUAAUUUAUAUCUAAAAUAAAUUGUAAUAUAAUAUUAUAGUAUAAUAGAAAAUAUAUGUAUAGAUAAGUAUUUAAAAAAAAAGUAUUUAAAAUUAUACAGAGCAAAUGAAUUGUAUAUGUAUAUAAUAAUAAAAUAAUAAACAUUUAUUAUAUUUUAUUUAUUAAAAUAUAUUAUUCAAAUUUAAUAUUUUUCCUAUUUUUUUUCUUUUUUUUGUAAUUUUUAUUUAAUAUUAAUAUUAAUAUUAAUAUAUUCAUAUACAUAUAUUUAAACAUAAUAUUUGAACAUAAGAUUGCAUUGGGUGUGUUUAGCAUAAAUAUAUAUUCAAAUUUCUUUUAAAAAGUGUAUUAUCUAUAUAUUAUACACUUCGUGAACAGAAGGUAAAGUUGAGUUGCGCAGGACCGUUGCGCAGGACUGUUGCGCAGUCAGUUAAGCAUAGUCCACUGGCGAAAGUAGUGGGGCUGUCCAAGAGAAAGAUGGCUGCCACCAGCGAGGAAUCGAGUGUUAUGGAGCCUUCUCAGACGAAUUCCGGGCAAAAUCAGCCCGUUGAUCCUCUAAAAAUGCUUUAUCCGAUGGUAAAUGAAGAGGAAACGCCACUACCACGCUCGUGGAGUCCAAAGGACAAAUACAAUUACAUCGGCCUCUCCCAAAACAAUCUUCGUGUUCAUUACAAAGGUUAUGGAAAAACUCACAAGGAUGCAGCAAGCGUACGUACAACGCAUUGUAUACCAGCUGCUUGUGGUCUUUAUUAUUUCGAAGUGAAGAUCGUUAGUAAAGGCAGAGAUGGUUAUAUGGGAAUUGGUCUAUCUGCUCACGGAGUAAACGUGAACAGAUUGCCAGGCUGGGACAAACAUUCGUACGGAUACCACGGUGACGAUGGACACAGUUUCUGUUCUUCUGGAACAGGUCAACCAUAUGGACCUACGUUCACUACAGGAGAUGUAAUUGGUUGUGGUGUAAAUCUUGUAGAUAAUACUGCCUUCUACACGAAAAAUGGACAUCAUCUUGGUAUCGCAUUCACUGAUCUUCCGCCAAAUUUAUAUCCAACGGUGGGUCUUCAAACACCAGGAGAAGUAGUCGAUGCAAACUUUGGACAAGAACCUUUUGUUUUUGACAUUGACGAUAUGCUUAAUGAACUCCGUGUCAAAACAAGAUUGCAAAUUAUAAACUACCCUACACCAGAUCACGGACAGGGUCAAUGGCAAGCAGUUCUUCAUAAAAUGGUGUCAACAUAUUUAGUCCAUCACGGUUAUUGUGCUACUGCCGAGGCAUUUGCCAAUAGUACUGGUCAAGGAUUUGAAGAAGAUCUUAAUUCCAUUAAAAAUAGACAAAAAAUUUUGAAAUUGGUAUUGGCAGGCAGAAUGGGAGAAGCAAUAGAGUUAACCAGUCGAUUGUAUCCAGGUCUUCUCGAACGAGAUCCAAAUCUUCUUUUUGCUCUUAAAUGUCGACAAUUUGUUGAAAUGGUGAAUGGUAGUGAUUCUGAAAUUACUCAAAAUUCCAAUAUUAAUCAAACUAGUGUUAUACAAUCUACGAAGGCUUAUACGAAAUCCUCAGUGAAUAGCAACAUUGAGGAAAUGAAUAUGAACAACGCUAUGAAUGGUUCUACUGAACAACAAUUAGUUAAUGGACAAAUUGAAAAUGAUGUAGAUAUGGAAGAAAAUGUCAUAAAUGGCAUGAAAAAUAAUACUGAAAAUGGUUAUCAAAAUAACGAUUUGAAUACUAAUGGAUACAAAUGUCAAAAUGGAGAAGAUGUCGACAUGGAAACCAACAAUGUUAGUCAAAUUCAACAACAAAAUGGUAAUUGUAAUAUGGAGAAUAUAUCGAAUAAAAAUAACAAGAAACAACUUUGUGGCGGUGAUAAACAGGCAAUUGAAAAAAUGUUAGAAUUUGGAAGACAAUUAUAUUCCCAAUCGAUACAUUUGCGACAACAACACGGAAAAAAUGAAAGCAAUAAAAAGAUGCUUCAAGAUGCAUUCAGCCUUCUAGCUUAUGCAAAUCCAUGGAAUUCACCAGUUGGUUGGCAACUUGAUCCUCAACAAAGGGAAACUGUUUGUGCAAGACUUAAUUCUGCCAUUCUUGAAUCGAGUAAUUUACCUCGACGACCACCUUUGGAAGUGGCUGCAUCUCAUGCAAGAGAACUGGUACGAUUGAUGUCUCAUGCUGGUCUUGGGGCAUGCGGUUUUGCGGUCGUAGACAAUAUCAUUCAAUAUUGACGAUGCCUACCCCUGCUGCCACGUCUGCUUCUUCUGCCGGCUCGAGUUUGGAUGUGGAGACGGAACGUGGAGCAGAUUAUAUUUUUGCAGCAACAACUUCGCGACAUCGCGUGCCUCUUCAGCUAGAGUUUAGCAAUUGGCUCUCUAGCUCUUACAUUGAUAUACAAGUAUAAUAUAAUACACAUAUACAAGACCUACCAAAAGUACUCGAUGUUACAGCAAAAAGAAUGAAAAUAAGAAUGAUUGUUAACUUCAAUGAUUAUUCAAGGAUCAUUGUAUAGACGUAAUUUCAGUUUUCUAAAGCCAAAAUAUGAAAACUGAUAUAUAAUGAAUUGAAGUAUCAGAAAAAUCGAUCUUAAAGAUCAUGAAUGAUGAUAGGAGAAGAAUAAUAAAUAAUAAAAAGAGUCAAAGAAUUAGAUGGCGUUGAUAGUUAAGAAACUUAAGAAUAAUAUAAAUACACUUUUGAAGUUGGAAGUGAGAUUUUUUCGACUAUAAGAUGAUUCUGAAGGCAUUGAUAAUUGAAGAUAAAGGAAACUUAGUGAUGAAAAUGCGAAUAAACUUGAGAAGGAUAUCUACACCUGCCAAGACGACCCUUUUCUCGUUUUCUCUUUUUAGCCCUGUAAUUCAUCAUCAUUUUGAUAUUUUUCCUUCGUUCUCAUAAUUGAUCGCCAUCAAGUAUCCGAGUUGUUUUUUGCAAUGGGAUGUGCUUUUAUAUUUUCGCCUAAUUUAUGAUCAUUAGACAGUGAGAAUCUCCAGGUGGGUUUCUAACCUCAUUCAUUUGAUUUUCUUUAUUUUGACAUUUUAUUUCAGUUUUAUGUCGUUUGAUAUCAUAUUUGUUACUCCUGUACUAUUCGAUUAAAUUUAAUUUUCUAAAAUUUUAGACUAAAUCUUUAUUAUAUUAGUUACGUCAUUUAUAAAUGUUUGAUUGAAAUAUUAAUUAAAAAAUUUUAAUUUCAUUUAAUAUUCACAAAUAUUGUAUUUCUAAAUGAAUUUUAUUCUCAAUGCAUUGCCCCAUUGUUCAUUCUAUUAUUUUUAUUAAUAUUUGACUUUUUUUUUUUAUGAAAUUUUUAAUAUUGUAUCUUUUGCAUAAUUGUUGACGACAAAUUAGCAUUCCUUUUUUAUCAAGAAAGUUUAACGAGAAAAGAGCUUCGUCAACAUAAAUACGAUUAAUUAAUUCUUCAUCGAUUAUUCUGAUAGCCUUUUUAUCGUAUUAUCAACGAGUCGAUUUUUGUAUCAAUUGCUAGCUUUUAAUGAAAAUAAAAAAUAUGUAAAAAAAAGGAGAAAAGAAGAAAGAAAACAUAAAAGUCAUAUAUAAAGAAUAAUAUACAAAUAAAAAAAGAAUAUUCUUUGAUUAUCUUUUCAUUAUCAUAAAUUAAGAUUAGAAAUGGUAUGAGAAUCAUAUUUUCGGUUUGAUGACCGUUUUAUUUUUGUUUAAUUUUCAUAACAAGGAAGAAACUAAUGUGUGAAGAAGCAAUAAUCCAAAACUUUAAAUCAUUUUCUUUUCCUUUUUUUAUUCAUUUUUUCUCUUCUUUAAUCGCCUUAUAAAUAUUUAUUAAUAGUUCCAAAUUGUAAUGACCGAUUAAUGAUCGUUAAGUAUUUUCGUUUCGAUUUUACUCGUCUUAGGUUCGAUUGGAUAAAUAAAAGAAAAGGAGCAAGAAAAAAAUUAUGUAUUAGUGAUAUGUACCAUGUGAUUACAAGAGAUAACUUUAUAAAAAAGAAAAAUAAAAAUAACGAAGAAAAGUAUAUUAAACUGUCGAGCAAAAUCAAUAAAAAAAAGAAAAUAAAAAUGAAGAAAUAUAUGAUCCUGAAUGAUUGUAAGUAUUGAAAACUAUGGCAGUUAUACAGUGAAAAUUAAUAAAAGUUGUAUAAUUACAUAGAACGUUGUAAAAUAUGCGGUGUUUUAUAUAUUUCUUUUUAACAGUUAAUUUAAUUAAAAUAUUUCGUAUUAAAAUAUUAAAAAAUAUCAGUAAUUCAAUAUUUUAACAAAAAUUAUUUUUGAAUAAAAAAGAAUGAUUUCAGCAUUUGAUAGCAUUUUCAAAACAAUUGUUUAAUUGUAUAAAAAUAAAAUUUAAUUUAAAAUCAAUAAGUCAUUUUAAAUUUAAGUUUGCGAAAAAUUGUUGAAAAUUUUUAUACUUAACAUGUUAAAACUUAGAUCUAAAUUAAAAUGGUUGUUCUCUCGAAUGUAUAGGUUGUAUACUUAAAUCAAUUAGCAUAAUUCAAUAAAGAUAACAUUUUAUAAUAAAAAUUACAUAAAAUUUUUUAAUUUAUCAUUUCUUAAUUCAAUUUAUAUUUUUUAAUAUUGAAACAAAAUUAAUUAAUUUAUUUAAUUCUAAUUUGAUAAAAUUAGAAUUGUAUUAAAAUUUGUUUUAACAUUGCAAAAAGGGAAACAAAAGAAACACAUAAGGACUUCAUUUAAAUCAAUAAUAAAUUUUAAUAACUAUUAAUAAGUGAACGAAAGAAAGAUCUUUGGCUAUGAAAAGAGGGAACGAUUGUAAAAGUCUAUAUAAUAUAUAAUAAAAAAGAAAAAAAGAGUAAUAGAAAAUGGAAUAAGAAAGAUAUAACAAAAUAUAACAAAAUAUAAUAUAUUAACAAUUACGAUGAAGAUUCAAAAGGAACAUUCAAUUAAAUUGAAAAACUGAAGAAAAAAAUUAAAUAAAUCAAUUAUUAACUAUCAAAUAAAUAAAUAAAUAAAUAUAUAUAUAUAAAUAUACAUAUAUACAUACAUAUAUAUAUAUAUAUAUAUAUAUGUAUUGUGAAACAAUCUUGUAUUCUAUCAUAAGUAAUUGUUUUUUAUAUGCGACAUAGUAUAUUAUAUUAUUAUGUAAUACAUGAUACAUAUGUACAUGUAUACAUAUGUAUGCAUACAUGCAAAAAUAUAUAAACAUGUAUAUGUGUAUAAAUAAAAAAAAAGAAAAAAACGAAAGAACUAAUAUCGUAUGAAUUAAUAAUGAACGCGUGAGAUUUCAAAAAAAAAUUUUGUUAUUCAAUUUUAUAUGUGUGUGUAUACAUAUGUAUAGAAUACACUAUUUUUUGUGUAUUGUAUACAUGUGCGUGCAUAUUCAUAUCGUUCUACAUGCAUGUACACAGUCAUGAGGAACGAUUAAAAGAACGAGUGAUCUCGAGAAUGAAAGAAAGCAAGAAAGAAAGAAAAAAUGAGAAUCUGACUGAGUUUAUUGAUUCGGAAUGAUUGCUAAAAGAAUAAAAAAUAUAAUUUAUCGAUUUUUAGCGUUAAACAUUUUCUGUACUAUAGAUAGAGCGAGUAUCUUGCGAAUAAUACAGUAUGAUUUGACAUUA